CACCAUCCACGCAUGAGGAUAGAGUGAGGCCACUUCAUGUUGAGCUUGGCGAUCGUUGCAGUGGUAAUCUGGUGUAAGAUAGCGAUAUAUGCUAAUUUUGUUUGGAAAUACUUAUUCACUAUUCAGAAGAUAACAAUGCUGCCAAAUAUAACUUUUCUUUUUCUAGACGCGGUGCGUUACUUUCGCUUUCUCCUUUUAUCACUAAAUGAUAU
rnacentral:lncRNA from 1 species